AUUGAACGCUGGCGGCAGGCCCAACACAUGCAAGUCGAGCGAGCGGCGGACGGGUGAGUACUGUAUGGGGACUGCCCGAUAGAGGGGGAUAACUACUGGAAACGGCGGCUAAUACCGCCUACUUUCGGAGAUCCCAUAUGGGAUUAGCUAGUAGGUAAGGUACUGGCUUACCUAGGCGACGAUCCCUAGCUGGUCUGAGAGGAUGACCAGCCACACUGGGACUGAGACACGGCCCAGACGCCUACGGAGGCAGCAGUGGGGAAUAUUGCACAAUGGGAGCAAGCCUGAUGCAGCCAUGCCGCGUGUAUGAAGAAGGCCCUAGGGUUGUAAAGUACUUUCAGUCGGGAGGCGUUACCGACAGAAGAAGCACCGGCUAACUCCGUGCCAGCAGCCGCGUUAAUAC
rnacentral:rRNA from 1 species